CACAGUCCCUUCUCGCUGGGACUCUCCAUUGCCUGGUGGCUUGUGUGUGUGCCGAGAGCAGCAAGGCGAGAUGACAAAUAAGCGUGUUUACAAAGGGCAAACUGAACUUGAAGUUUUGGGAGUGUUUUCCCAUCAAGCUCAUGAACCUCCUACAAAACUGUUUGAGCUAACUCACUUUUGAUAUUUUGUUCUAGUUCUUUUCCUUGGGAAGUGAAGAAGAGACAGCUUUUGCAGCUAUUCUUCCUAAACAAACAGAGAGAAAAGCCUGUGACCCUAAGCCUGUUGAGUUUCAAGGGCACCGAGUGAAAGGAUCAGCGAGCAGCGCCGUGAUGAUCAGAGGACAGAUUCCAGGGGGGGCCGCAUGUGAGAACUGCACGCCUGACAUUUGUUUUUUGGCACCAGAGCGGCCUAGCACUUGUAUGCAGGCUGACUUCUUGCAGUUGGCUGAAUGGAGGGUUGCUGAACCAGGGAUGUGGAGGCCACUGUGUGCUCAUUGGAAACAAUCGUGUGUAACUGGACCCAUGAGGCUCAAACGUGAUGUUCCCGGGUCAACACAUGGACCUGUAGGAGCUCUUUCUAUGUUAGGAAAACCAACCUGUCAGCAUUUUUCCUCACUGGUUACUAUUGUGACUCGGCUUAUGAUUUUUCCCG
rnacentral:lncRNA from 1 species